GUUCCUAAUCAUAGUUUUGGGAGACUCUUGUUAGUCCUUCUGGUCUCAGUGACUCAUCGCAUACUCAGAGGUGAUUCCUGCCACCAUGCAGACUUCGAAGUGCGUUCAUAGAAUGCUGAGCCGUGUGAUGCUCUGUUAGAAAAAAGGGGUGGGGUUCCAGGAUCAAAGUGUGGAAGAUUGUUCUAGACACAACCCUGAGCAGCAGGCGCGAUUCCAGGAGCUGUGGCAGAGCUGGAGGAGCAAGUGACUUUUCCCAAGUGUAAAAUUGUUCCGUGGGGAGAGCUGAGCAGGGGCCAGGAGGAAGCCGAUAGCUUCUGGGACCACCACCUGAGCCCACCUGCGGAUCCUCCAGCCGAAACCUCGACACCAUUCCCAGAGACCAAGAUCCCCUCCACGACCAGGGGCUGCCUUUCUGUGCUUGGUCUGGUGACUCCAAGGGUGGUUUCUGUGCCUGCCGGGAGUGAGCUGAGGGUCUGAUGACAUGAGAGACAAUCCUCCUGGGAAAGUGACAGCUUCAUUUGCUCCUUGAAAAGUGACUGAGUCACAAGUCAAAUCCCAAAGCCACAACCCCUUCUACCACUGAGAUGCCAGCAGGUGGAUCCUUCCAAGAAGCCAGAACCCACCGACAGGGACACAGUGGGGCCGUGGCCUCACGAUGAGGUUCAACUUUGCAGCUGGAUACACUAGACAUUGAGGUCACCUGCAAGGAACACGUUUAGAAACAACUGGAGCAGCCCAGAAAGUAAGCCACUGAGGACUUCCCAGGGCCGGGCUGGACACCAUCCCGCCAAGAUCAAGUCAUGCUUACAGUCAUGCAGUAGCCAGUGUGUGCAUGUGCCCGGGAGGCUGCGGGCAGGGGUGGGCCGUUGCAGAACCAGGGGUUUCUAUUUCAGGGAGUCCGUUUUCUGGAUUCUAAGGCGGAACAGGUGAUCUGAUGCAGGAUUCCUGGGGCCACUUCCGGCUGCGAGAGGCUGUCUAGUCCUCACCCCUCACCAUGUGGCCUAGGCCUGCCGUAUCACCCAGGAGCCUGGUGGAAGCACAGAACCUCGGGCCCCACCCCUUCUACCUACUGAACCCGAAUCUUGGUAUGUGUGUCCGGGUGACCCAGCCACCUGGCUUUUAACAAGUUCUCCAGGUCAUUCUUGUGCACCAUGAAGUUUGAGAGUCCCAGGUCUGCGAUGCAGGAUGGAAAACAGAGAUGUGGGAUGGCUGGGGACGUUGGGAUGACUCAGGGCAUUGGUAUUCAAACGUGUUCUCGGAGAUCCCGCUUGCUAUACUGCCCAGCCUUGCAGCUCUGAGGCCCCGCCUCCGGGGCUGGCACUGGUCCUGUGUUUAGAGGAAAAUGGGUGGGGCACCUGGGCUUGGGACCCUCAGUCAUAGGGUUUUCUGACUUCGGGAAUUUCCGGGGGAGGGGUUGUGGCUCCUCCUGAAGGUGUGGGAGCAGUGGGGGGGUUGCACUCUUGCAGA
rnacentral:lncRNA from 1 species